rnacentral:lncRNA from 1 species
AUGGUUCACAGCGGCUCUUCUUCCCCAAUGAAAACAGCACCAUCAGCAUCACCUCAUUUAACUGUUCCUGCUCCAGCUCCCCCUCUGCAAAUAGCACCUCCUCUGGUGACUGUCUCUGAAGAUACUACUGGCCAGGAGUUAACCCAGCACCCUGCAAAGCUCCUCAUCACAGAACUUACUUCUACUCCAUCUCCAACUGGUGCCGAACCGCCCGUUGUAACCCCAGCAAAAGUGCAUACAACUAGCUCUAGCCAACCAUCUCCCUGGUCUUCAACACAAACUCCACCCCCUGCUCAGCUCGCCGUCAAUGGCCGUACAUCAGGCAGGAAGAGGACGCCUAAGGCUUGUGACUGUUGUGGCCCCAACAGUACGGGACACAAUGUUCAAACCUCAGGCAGAGGGAGGGGGAGAGGUAGAGGGAGAGGUAAAGGGCCUGGUAGGGACCUUAGUGAAACACCUAAAAGAAAAGUGGGGGGUCAGCUGACGCGCAUCAAGAACCCUGAUUUAAUCCAGGACAUUGUAGAAGAAGCAGAGAAUGAAGAUUGCAUACAAAAGACAAUGCAAGCCACUGAAGUGGUGGACAAUACUCAGCCGCAGACACUUGUUCCCCUAGCUGUCGCAUCCCUUCAUGAUGGAUCAAUAAGAAACUGUGUCACUCCAGAGAAAGGGGAUUCACCGAUAAAUGAACACAUGUGGACAGAGGGGUCAGAGGUUAUUGGCUCAGUAGGGAAGACAGUUGGUCAUCUGGAGAUGAAGUUGCCUCUAAUUCUAGGCAGGGGAGCACUGGUGGUUAGAGGGAGAGGUGUAAGGGGAAUGAUGGGGUCUACUUGUGUAUCACAAUUUAGAGUAGGAGUUGGAUUAAACAGGGCAGGUAGUAACCAAGAUGAGAAAAAACAUUUAGAGAUUGAACAUGUGGAGCACAUUGACUCCUGCAUAAUUAAAUCUCCAAUAGGAAAUGGGGAGACGGUAAAUUUAUCUGACACAGAACCUGAAGAGCAGACAAAGGACGACAGUGUGAUUAUGAGUGAUCCUGGAUACGGACUAGUAUCCAUCUCAGGUCCUGCUUUGGGUUCAGAGACUCCCCAGGAUCUUGACUCUGAAAUGCAGGUGGAUCAAAUUCCUGAUGAAGCAGACCAAGCUUUUUAUCACUAA